UACGAAGGGGGCUAGCGUUGUUCGGAAUUACUGGGCGUAAAGCGCGCGCAGGCGGUCUUCCAAGUCAGUGGUGAAAGCCCGGAGCUCAACUCCGGAACUGCCAUUGAAACUGUUAGACUUGAGGACGAGAGAGGUGAGUGGAAUUCCACGUGUAGAGGUGAAAUUCGUAGAUAUUGGGAAGAACACCGGUGGCGAAGGCGGCUCACUGGCUCGUAUCUGACGCUCAGGCGCGACAGCGUGGGGAUCAAACAGG
rnacentral:rRNA from 1 species